rnacentral:rRNA from 1 species
UACGAAGGGGGCUAGCGUUGCUCGGAAUUACUGGGCGUAAAGGGAGCGUAGGCGGAUAGUUUAGUCAGAGGUGAAAGCCCAGGGCUCAACCUUGGAAUUGCCUUUGAUACUGGCUAUCUUGAGUAUGGAAGAGGUAUGUGGAACUCCGAGUGUAGAGGUGAAAUUCGUAGAUAUUCGGAGGAACACCGGAGGCGAAGGCGGCUUCCUGGACCGAUCUUGACACUGAGGCGCGAAAGCGUGGGGAGCAAACAGG